CAUAUCACGUUGAAACAUUGGUUCCUGUAUAAUCACCAAAGUUAAGCAAUGUCGAGCCUGGUCAGUAACUAGAUGGGUAACCGCUUGGGAAUACCAGGUGCUGUA